GCUCCUGCUGCCAUGCUGUGAGGAAGUCCAGGCUAACCUGGAGAAGAGAAAGACCUCAUGCAGAAGAGAAAGACCUCAUGAAGAGUUUGGAGAAGAUGACAAUGGCACAUGGGAAUAAAGGCUACACAGAGGAGAACUGAGGAAAUGGGUAAAAUGCAUCCCACGAGCCAAGGACAGCUAUCCUAUGGCGAGGAGACCAUAAGAUUUGGACCAUGGACCGACCUGGUUUCCAACUCUCGCUUCCUUUUUGAAAGCUGCUGUGGGCAAGCUGCUCUCUCUGGAUUCAACCUCUGCGAAGUCAUCUGUAAAACAACCUCCCCAGCCUGCAAGUCACGGUAGCAGGAAUGCUGAGCUGGACUGAAACUGUAAGGAAAGCCCUAUGUGGGUACAGAACUGUACAGCUUGCAAAGAAAUAUACUGGCUCCGAAGUACUUAUAAAGCCCUUUCCAUUCACAAGCUCCCACUGCCCCUUGCAGCUGCAGUCAGACGCAUCUAUAACGGUGAGAAGCAGAGAAGAAAGGAAGGCAAGAGCACAGGAAAGAAGGGGAGAAGAGAGUGAGAAAGAUGAACCUAAUAUUACAUAUCAGAAUACUCAAGAUUUACUAAAAAAUGUUAUACAAUAA
rnacentral:lncRNA from 1 species